UCUACGGGAGGCAGCAGUGGGGAAUAUUGGGCAAUGGAGGAAACUCUGACCCAGCAACGCCGCGUGAAGGAUGAAGGUUUUCGGAUUGUAAACUUCUGUCGCGAGGGAUGAAGAAUGACGGUACCUCGUAAGAAAGCCCCGGCAAACUACGUGCCAGCAGCCGCGGUAAUACGUAGGGGGCGAGCGUUGUCCGGAAUGACUGGGCGUAAAGGGAGUGUAGGCGGCAUAUUAAGUUAUGUGUGAAAGCCCGCGGCUCAACCGCGGAAUUGCACAUAAAACUGGUAAGCUGGAGUGCAGGAGAGGUAAGUGGAAUUCCCGGUGUAGCGGUGACAUGCAUAGAUAUCACGCAGAACUCCGAGUGCGAAGGCAGCAUACCGGCGCCCAACUGACGCUGAAGCACGAAAGCGUGGGUAUCGAACAGGAUUAGAUACCCGUGUAGUC
rnacentral:rRNA from 1 species